UACGUAGGGGGCUAGCGUUGUCCGGAAUCAUUGGGCGUAAAGCGCGCGUAGGCGGCCCGGUAAGUCCGCUGUGAAAGUCAAAGGCUCAACCUUUGAAUGUCAGCGGAUACUGCCGGGCUAGAGUCCGGAAGAGGCGAGUGGAAUUCCUGGUGUAGCGGUGAAAUGCGUAGAUAUCCGGAGGAACACCGGUGGCGAAGGCGGCUUCCUGGACCGACACUGACGCUGAGGCGCGAAAGCUAGGGGAGCAAACGGG
rnacentral:rRNA from 1 species